CUCACGGCUUCAUUCUGAGCCCAGCUCCUGGCAGAGUGGAGGUAGCUCAGCAGGCGGCGGAGGCGGCCUGAGCUCCAGGGCAACUCGCUCCCUUCUAGUCUUUCUUUCCACCCGCGUUCAACAUGAAAGCGUUCAGUCCAGUGAGGUCUGUUAGGAAAAACAGCCUUUCGGACCACAACCUGGGCAUUUCCCGGAGCAAAACCCCGGUGGAUGACCCGAUGAGCCUCCUGUAUAACAUGAACGACUGUUACUCCAAGCUCAAGGAGCUGGUGCCCAGCAUCCCCCAGAACAAGAAGGUGAGCAAGAUGGAAAUCCUGCAGCACGUCAUCGACUACAUCUUGGACCUGCAGAUCGCCCUGGAUUCGCACCCCACUAUUGUCAGCCUCCACCACCAGAGACCGGGGCAAAACCAGUCUUCCAGGACGCCGCUGACCACCUUAAACACGGACAUCAGUAUCCUGUCCUUACAGGUGAGCCCUGCGCUCGGUGCCCUCAGCUCCGCGGCCCGCAUGCUCCCAGCGAUGAUCUGGACUGUCGCCAAUAGGUCCAUUGUCAAGAGGGCUGCAGACGGUAAUUUGAAGAUUAGCAAAUUCACUUAAUUUUCUUAAAAAUCUGUAGAUUGAGCUGUGCGUGAAAUUGCUGAUAAGUUCUGACAUGUUAAUACUAUACUUUUGAGUCGAAAAUGUAGCGUAAACGUUUAUAAAUGGAACGUGGUGUUUAAUGGACUACUUAAAAAAAAAAAGGUUUUUUCUCCUUAAGACGUCUAACAUUGUGCCUUUAUCCUCUUUUGCAGGCUUCUGAAUUCCCUUCUGAGUUAAUGUCAAAUGACAGCAAAGCACUCUGUGGCUAAAUAAAUGGUGUUCAUGACUUUCUUUUUUUCUUUGCACAACAACAACAACAAAUCCACAGGAUCUUUAAAGGCGCUGAACUUAAUUUUUCAACUGUUUCACAGGGGAGGACAACAACAAAUUGAAUGGACCUUUAAAAAAAAAAAAUAGAAGGAAAGCUAAAUGAUCGUCUUCCCCAGCG